UCUCCCCCCAAAAAUUUAUAAAGAAGGUUGGAUUUCAGCGGUUUGUGUAACCACAACAUCACAUAUUCAAGUUCAUGUCAUCCCAAAAGUUGGAACAUCAGCACUGUGUAGUUGGGGGCCUGUCAUCCUGGCUUCCUCUCUCCGGCUCACCACCUGCAGCUCCAAUCACCUGAGGCUCAUCGACAAUCAACCCAAUCUGUUAAAACCCCAGCUCUACAGUCACUCCCGGCCAGUUCGUCAUUUAACCUACUGUGUGUGACCUCAGCUGAGUUUGGAUACACUACCUGCCAGCCUGGAGAGUGCCCUGUCUCCACUGCAACAAUCUCAAAUAAGCCAGAGACUCCCACUCCACCCAGCCCGCUUGCU